CUUAUGGGGACGUGCGAUGCUCCCCACGAGGCGACAUGCCGAAGUUAUCGCGUCCUGUCCAUUAUGGGGACGCUGCAUG
rnacentral:ncRNA from 1 species